rnacentral:guide_RNA from 1 species
AUAUAAAAUCACAGCCGACAUAAAUAAGAAAAAGUAAAUGGUUAUGAUGU